AACUUCUCAAACCACAUCAGAUUGAUGUUGGCUUGGAUGUGGGGGUUGUUUUUGCAGGCUUUCUUGUAGAAGGUCGGCUCCCCUGAAAUGAAUUAGUGGUAUCUGAGGCUACUACUGUGGGUGUGAUAACUAUCUAUGCCUUUGGUAUGCCGCAUGAACAGAUUACACCGCUUCUAACAAAACAAAUGUUGAUAA
rnacentral:misc_RNA from 1 species